GAUGAACGCUGGCGGCGUGCCUAAUACAUGCAAGUCGAGCGAACGGACGAGAAGCUUGCUUCUCUGAUGUUAGCGGCGGACGGGUGAGUAACACGUGGAUAACCUACCUAUAAGACUGGGAUAACUUCGGGAAACCGUAGCUAAUACCGGAUAAUAUUUUGAACCGCAUGGUUCAAAAGUGAAAGACGGUCUUGCUGUCACUUAUAGAUGGAUCCGCGCUGCAUUAGCUAGUUGGUAAGGUAACGGCUUACCAAGGCAACGAUGCAUAGCCGACCUGAGAGGGUGAUCGGCCACACUGGAACUGAGACACGGUCCAGACUCCUACGGGAGGCAGCAGUAGGGAAUCUUCCGCAAUGGGCGAAAGCCUGACGGAGCAACGCCGCGUGAGUGAUGAAGGUCUUCGGAUCGUAAAACUCUGUUAUUAGGGAAGAACAUAUGUGUAAGUAACUGUGCACAUCUUGACGGUACCUAAUCAGAAAGCCACGGCUAACUACGUGCCAGCAGCCGCGGUAAUACGUAGGUGGCAAGCGUUAUCCGGAAUUAUUGGGCGUAAAGCGCGCGUAGGCGGUUUUUUAAGUCUGAUGUGAAAGCCCACGGCUCAACCGUGGAGGGUCAUUGGAAACUGGAAAACUUGAGUGCAGAAGAGGAAAGUGGAAUUCCAUGUGUAGCGGUGAAAUGCGCAGAGAUAUGGAGGAACACCAGUGGCGAAGGCGACUUUCUGAUCUGUAACUGACGCUGAUGUGCGAAAGCGUGGGGAUCAAACAGGAUUAGAUACCCUGGUAGUCCACGCCGUAAACGAUGAGUGCUAAGUGUUAGGGGGUUUCCGCCCCUUAGUGCUGCAGCUAACGCAUUAAGCACUCCGCCUGGGGAGUACGACCGCAAGGUUGAAACUCAAAGGAAUUGACGGGGACCCGCACAAGCGGUGGAGCAUGUGGUUUAAUUCGAAGCAACGCGAAGAACCUUACCAAAUCUUGACAUCCUUUGACAACUCUAGAGAUAGAGCCUUCCCCUUCGGGGGACAAAGUGACAGGUGGUGCAUGGUUGUCGUCAGCUCGUGUCGUGAGAUGUUGGGUUAAGUCCCGCAACGAGCGCAACCCUUAAGCUUAGUUGCCAUCAUUAAGUUGGGCACUCUAAGUUGACUGCCGGUGACAAACCGGAGGAAGGUGGGGAUGACGUCAAAUCAUCAUGCCCCUUAUGAUUUGGGCUACACACGUGCUACAAUGGACAAUACAAAGGGCAGCGAAACCGCGAGGUCAAGCAAAUCCCAUAAAGUUGUUCUCAGUUCGGAUUGUAGUCUGCAACUCGACUACAUGAAGCUGGAAUCGCUAGUAAUCGUAGAUCAGCAUGCUACGGUGAAUACGUUCCCGGGUCU
rnacentral:rRNA from 1 species